rnacentral:rRNA from 1 species
CCUCGGAUCAGGUAGGAAUACCCGCUGAACUUACAACAGGGAUUGCCCUAGUAACGGCGAGUGAAGCGGCAACAGCUCAAAUUUGAAAUCUGGCUCUCGGGCCCGAGUUGUAAUUUGUAGAGGAUGCUUUUGAUGCGGUGCCUUCCGAGUUCCCUGGAACGGGACGCCAUAGAGGGUGAGAGCCCCGUCUGGUUGGAUGCCAAAUCUCUGUAAAGCUCCUUCGACGAGUCGAGUAGUUUGGGAAUGCUGCUCUAAAUGGGAGGUAUAUGUCUUCUAAAGCUAAAUACCGGCCAGAGACCGAUAGCGCACAAGUAGAGUGAUCGAAAGAUGAAAAGCACUUUGAAAAGAGAGUUAAAAAGUACGUGAAAUUGUUGAAAGGGAAGCGUUUAUGACCAGACUUGGGCUUGGUUAAUCAUCUGGGGUUCUCCCCAGUGCACUUUUCCAGUCCAGGCCAGCAUCAGUUUUCGCCGGGGGAUAAAGGCUUCGGGAAUGUGGCUCUCUCCGGAGAGUGUUAUAGCCCGUUGCGUAAUACCCUGGCGGGGACUGAGGUUCGCGCAUCUGCAAGGAUGCUGGCGUGAUGGUCGUCAACGA